CAGACUGCUUCCUCAUCCUCUUCACCCAUCCCCCAUAACCAAUAGGAGCAUGCCCACUGCCUCCACAACCUCAACAUGCUCCCUCAUGAAUCUCUCCCCCGCUCCUCUCUAGGGGGUCCAGAAGCCCUAGUCUCGCCCUCUCCUUCGAGCCCAAAUUCAUCUACCACGUGGCUGCAUGGAUCUGAAGGGGUUAUCAUCGGCUGUCAAGAAUAGAAAAAGAAGGAAGACACAGAGAGAGAGAGAGAGAGAGAGAGAGAGAGAGAGAUGAAGUAAUUAAGUACGGGAAAUGGAGUNNNNNNNNNNNNNNNNNNNNGAGAGAGAGAGAGAGAGAGAGAGAUGAGAAUUAAUCGGGAAAUGGAUGGGAAGGAAUAUGGAGAGAAUAAUCAAACAGAUGAAAGAGCUGCCCAAUUCGAUAAAAGAAAAUGCAACUUCUAAGGUAGGAAAUAGAUGGGAGG
rnacentral:lncRNA from 1 species